UACGUAGGGGGCGAGCGUUAUCCGGAAUUAUUGGGCGUAAAGGGUGCGUAGGUGGUCUGAUAAGCGUGGGGUGAAAGGCAAUAGCUUAACUAUUGUAAGCCUUGCGAACUGUCAGACUUGAGUGCAGGAGAGGAAAGUGGAAUUCCUAGUGUAGCGGUGAAAUGCAUAGAUAUUAGGAGGAACACCAGUGGCGAAGGCGACUUUCUGGACUGUAACUGACACUGAGGCACGAAAGCGUGGGGAGC
rnacentral:rRNA from 1 species